AUUGCUUUCUCUCUCCAUCUCUCUUCAAUUCCAGUGUACUGGUAGGUUUGCCUGUAUUUUUGGUGCGGUGAUGAGCUAUUAGCACUAAGAAAGCAAGAUAUUCAGAGACGUCCUAUCACUUUCGCCAAGUCGGCAGGGAACGGGCUUGAGGAGGACCUUGAUGAUUGAGAGGCCAACUCGAUUUUGAUUGAUAGUCCAUUAUCAGCUUGCGUGUCUUCUGAAAUUAGUAGCUACUGCAUAUUUGAAAGAUCAUCAAAUAUCUGUUCUAAAUGACCACGUUAUUGUGCCUGGUGUUAAAAGGAUGUAUCUUCCACAUUUUAACAUCUGAUUUGUUAUGUGGUCAAUAGAUUAUAUUAACUCAGCUACUGAUAUAUCAUCUUUUCUACUUACUGCAGACAAGCGAGCUAAUUAGUAACUUCUUGAGCAUGUAGUUAUUAGUAUUUGACUUAUUUUGGUUUGACAUGUAGUAAAUGAAACCACUUCUUGCUCAUUUCUUUGGGGGCAAUACAGCCAUUUUGAAAGGAAAUCGAACUACAUUAUGUUCUAUAACGUAUGGUUAUGCAAGAAUGAUAUUGUAGACCCUAUGCUCACUGAUUAUAGUACCAGUUCAGUGGAAAAAUGCAUGCGUAUUGGAGAAUUUUAUUUCUGUGGAACAGUUCAUGCUUAAUCAGUUUUACUUGGGAGGAGAUACCUGAACUUGCAAAGUUUACGAACGAAUGUUCUCACUAGAGACUCAAAGUAUCUACCUUUUUCUUAAAGUUGCCAAGCCAUCUACAUCGGUAAAUGACCUAACUGUUUAGGCAGAUGAGAACGACAAGAUUGGAACUCUGCUAAUGUUUUGUGUGGUGUGCAUUUAUUAAUAUAGUCUACAAAUUUUUUUAAACGGUUGAUAUCCGUUCCCUUUGUAGUUAUUUCUUGGGAACUAUAUUUAGUAUUAUUUUUCCAGUGUUGCAUAUGUUGCCUAAACACAAGGAUAAAAGUUUGCAUGGUUGUUGUAUUUUGUUCACACUAUUCCAAAUAAUGUUUUACAUUUUUACACACGAAGGGUGGUUUUGCACGCUGCUUAUCUGAGUAAGUAUUCUUGCUUAGUCCAUCUGAUAACAUGAUGAAAUUGCCCUCAUUGUUAACACUUUAUAGCCGAACUGAAUUUUAUCACAUGAGGUGCGAAUUUACUGGCUUUAUUUCUGUAGCUGCGAUAAGCAUAUAUCAUAUACAAUGCACUAAUACAGUGAAAAAAUUAAGUAGUUUUGAAGGUGAUUUUUUUUCUUGGUCUGCAGCUGAAAGAAAAGAAAGCAAGACAAGUAAAGAAUAAAACAGUUGUUAAAAUUCCAGAACUAAUCUGAAUGCUCUGCUAAACUAGAGGUCGGUGUUUUCUAAAAAACAGAGUUCAGCGGUGAAACUAAUGGACACUAAAAGAUUUUUCCUACUUUGUCCUACUUAGUUCUCCAUGCAAUUCCAUAAGGCUAGCUACAUAUCUGACAAUAUAAUUAUUUGCAUAUCGAAUGUUUGAUGGUGACAGUUUUGAAAUUCAACUCUUUGAGGGUAAAUCUUUGCUUGCUCUCUAGCUGAAUUCAAAUAAUACAGAAAAUAAGUACAGCAGAGACAACCAACUGUUAGUCAUAUUGGAACAGUAAUAUGAUUGCUCUGCUACAUGACUAGAAAGAAAACACACAAAGAAACCGAUGGAAAGUGAAAGAUCAUGGGCUGUCAGAAUUUUCCAUCCUGUUCUUAUUUUAUGACAUGUUAAACUGUGAAGAAAAGUGCUUCAAAGCUCAGAAACAAGAGGCUGCUCUUCGUCGGUGACUCAAUCAAUAGGAAUAAAUUGGUCUCCCUGGUGUGCAUGGUCGAUUCCUCCAUUCCUAAGGUCUGAAGAUGCGUGUUUACAAUGGCCUCCUUAAAGGCGUAUAUUUUUAAUAUCUGAAUAUUGAAUUUCACAUAACAUAGGAGGCAUGCAUAACACUUUCUGUCAGCUGACUUAUACAAAUUCUGGUCGUCGCUGAUACUGGAAUCAAGCAACAACAUUCUGAUAAUCUACCAGAUGGAGUACCAGAACAUAAGGUAUAAAAUUAAGAAGCAUUCCAUUAUAUACGUAGAGGAACGGUGAAUCAGAAGGCCAAUAUGAGGAUGAAGGUCAUGUAUGCCUCAUUUGACGAUGGUGAUGCAAAGCUAGACGAAGUGAAGAUGGUCUAAGGUUAUGAGAUCACUCUCAAGAAGCUACCUAAUUAGCUGGGAAUGAACAUCACCAAAAAGACUAAAAUCUAUUUCGCUGGCUCAUUGCCUAACCAUACUGGGAAAGCGUGUGGGGUGGAGACGACAACAAGGCGUAGCCGAUCCCGGAUGCUGGGGACGAAGAGGUCACCACAGACUGCAGCAUGAUGGGCAAUGCUGGAGAUAUCUUCAGAACACUGGAGAAGAAAGACGUCGACGCCCUAGAUUGCCAACACCAACUCUACGUGGGCUGUACACUUUGGUGUUUCACAGGUGCUAUUGGCAUAUGAAACUGAUGUCAAUCAGUGACGCCCAGUGUAUGAACUAACAAGAAAGAAAACUCUUGCAUCA